GCGCUGCUAGCUCAAUGGUAGAGCAUCGGACUCUUAAUCCGCUGGUUGAAGGUUCGAGUCCUUCGCGGCGCA
rnacentral:tRNA from 1 species